rnacentral:rRNA from 1 species
GCUAGGAUGAACGCUAGCGGCAGGCUUAACACAUGCAAGUCGAGGGGCAACGCGAGUAGCAAUACUUGGCGGCGACCGGCGCAAGGGUGCGUAACGCGUGAGCAACAUGCCCGUAUCAGGGGGAUAAUCCAGGGAAACUUGGUCUAAUACCCCAUAGUAAUUUUUGUAAGGCAUCUUAUAAGAUUUAAAGCUUUGGUGGAUACGGAUUGGCUCGCGUGACAUUAGCUGGAUGGUAAGGUAACGGCUUACCAUGGCUAUGAUGUCUAGGGGUUCUGAGAGGAAGGUCCCCCACACUGGAACUGAGACACGGUCCAGACUCCUACGGGAGGCAGCAGUGAGGAAUAUUGGACAAUGGAUGGAAAUCUGAUCCAGCCAUGCCGCGUGAAAAGGAAGAAGGUCCUAUGGAUUGUAAACUUCUUUUGUAUGGGAGCAAUAAGGCCUACGAGUAGGUUGAUGAGAGUACCAUACGAAUAAGCACCGGCUAACUCCGUGCCAGCAGCCGC